rnacentral:rRNA from 1 species
AUACGUAGGGGGCGAGGGUUGUCCGGAAUGAUUGGGCGUAAAGGGCGCGUAGGCGGCCCGGUAAGUCUGGAGUGAAAGUCCUGUUUUUAAGAUGGGAAUUGCUUUGGAUACUGUCGGGCUUGAGUGCAGGAGAGGUAAGUGGAAUUCCCAGUGUAGCGGUGAAAUGCGUAGAGAUUGGGAGGAACACCAGUGGCGAAGGCGACUUACUGGACUGUAACUGACGCUGAGGCGCGAAAGUGUGGGGAGCAAACAGGAUUAGAUACCCUGGUAGUCCACACUGUAAACGAUGAAUGCUAGGUGUAGGGGGUAUCGACCCCUUCUGUGCCGCAGUCAACACAAUAAGCAUUCCGCCUGGGGAGUACGGCCGCAAGGUUGAAACUCAAAGGAAUUGACGGGG